rnacentral:tRNA from 1 species
GUGUUGCGGCUCAGAGGUAGAGCGCUCGCCUUAGUAUGCAUCAGGUACUGGGUUCGAUCCUCAGCACCACA